rnacentral:rRNA from 1 species
UACAGAGGGGGCAAGCGUUAUUCGGAAUUAUUGGGCGUAAAGGGCGCGUAGGCGGCUUGGCAAGUGGAUGGUGAAAUCCCUCGGCUUAACCGAGGAACUGCCAUCCAGACUGCUUCGCUUGAGACCGGGAGAGGUGAGUGGAAUUCCCAGUGUAGCGGUGAAAUGCGCAGAUAUCGGGAGGAACACCAAUGGCGAAGGCAGCUCGCUGGGACGUUACUGACGCUGAGACGCGAAAGCGUGGGGAGCAAACAGG